rnacentral:tRNA from 1 species
AGAUAUUGAAGUAAAACUUUACAUUUAGUUUCGACCUAAAAAUUAGGAUAUUAUUAUCCCCUAUCUA